GUUUUUUCUUGGAAAGACGUUUGUUGUUUUAGUGCUACGAACAAUCCAAUUUGAAAUGGCUGAAGAUCCGGAAUACGAAGUAGAGGAGAUCGUCGAUCGAGGCUUGUACCGCAAUGAAGAAGGAUUACUCCGUGUCUGGUACUAAAUAAAAUUUAAAGGUUAUCCAGACACGGAUAAUCAAUGGAUUCCUGCAAAACUAACAAACUGCAGGACUCUUAUUAGAGAAUUUAAUAAAAAAUCAUGAAUAAUGUACUAACACCACCCCAAUCAAAUUCGGAUGGAAUUGUAGAAUUGUUUGAGGAUGUUGGUGGGGGUGUGGCUGAUAGAAGGGGAGGCUUGGGUGUGGAUGGUGGUGUGAAUGGGGGAGUGGAUGGAUUUCGUGUGGAUGGUGGUGUGUUUGGGGGAUUGGGUUGCUUGGGAGAGGAUGUUGGUGUUGGCGGGGAUGGCGGAAAGAUGUAUGAAGAAGAAGAAGAGCAACAUAUAUCAGUCCAUGAUGUAACACCAAAGGAAAAAAAACAACAACAAAAAAAAGAAUUAGAACGGAGGAUAGGAGGAGAAAAAAUUCAAAAUGUUUUAAAUGUCACUUGAAGGGGUAUUUCUCUAAUGAAUGCCCAAAGCGACUUGUAUAAAUAUUUUUCCGUGAUUGCCAAUAACUUGAUAAUAAACUCUUGCAGUUACAUGAUGCAGCUGAUUUUGUAUACACACUGAUUUGCUCUGCUUUUCCUAUUCUACUUA